GCCAGGCGUAGUGGUGCACACCUGUAAUCCCAUCUACUUGGGAGGCGGAGGCAGGAGGAUGGCAAGUUUGAGGCCAGCCUCAGAAACUUAGUAAGGCCCUAAGCAACUUAAUGAGAACUUGUCUCAA
rnacentral:sRNA from 1 species